CAAGUCGAACGGGGUUAUUUUUCGGAAAUAACUUAGUGGCGGACGGGUGAGUAACACGUGAGCAACCUGCCUUUGUGAGGGGGAUAACGUCUGGAAACGGACGCUAAUACCGCAUGAUGUGUUCGGAUGGCAUCAUCUGAACAUCAAAGAUUUAUCGCUGAAAGAUGGGCUCGCGUCUGAUUAGAUAGUUGGUGGGGUAACGGCCCACCUAGUCUUCGAUGGAUAGGGGUUCUGAGAGGAAGGUCCCCACAUUGGUACUGAGACACGGCCCAGACUCC
rnacentral:rRNA from 1 species